GAGUUUGAUCAUGGCUCAGAAUCAACGCUGGCGGCGUGCCUCAGACAUGCAAGUCGAACGAUUAAACUUUCCUUCGGGAAAGAUAUAAAGUGGCGCACGGGUGAGUAACACGUAAGUAAUCUACCUUCGAGUGGGGAAUAACGUUCGGAAACGGACGCUAAUACCGCAUAAUGCAGCGGCACCUUAUGGUGACAGUUGUUAAAGGAGCAAUUCGCUUGAAGAGGAGCUUGCGGCAGAUUAGCUAGUUGGUAAGGUAAUGGCUUACCAAGGCUACGAUCUGUAACCGGUCUAAGAGGACGGUCGGUCACACUGACACUGAAUAACGGGUCAGACUCCUACGGGAGGCAGCAGUCGGGAAUUUUGGGCAAUGGGCGAAAGCCUGACCCAGCAACGCCGCGUGAAGGAUGAAGUAUUUCGGUAUGUAAACUUCGAAAGAAUAGGGAAGAAUCAAUGACGGUACCAUUUAUAAGGUCCGGCUAACUACGUGCCAGCCGCCGCCGU
rnacentral:rRNA from 1 species